GCGGAGGAUCAUUACAGAGAAUGUGCCCUUCGGGGUGUAUCUCCCACCCUUUGUUUACAAUACCUUUGUUGCUUUGGCAGGCCUGUCUAAUGACUACUGGCUUUUGCUGGUUAGUGCCUGCCAGAGGACCUCAACACUCAUAAUUUUGUUGUCUGAGUACUUGCAUAAUAGUUAAAAACUUUCAACAACGGAUCUCUUGGUUCUGGCAUCGAUGAAGAACGCAGCGAAAUGCGAUAAGUAAUGUGAAUUGCAGAAUUCAGUGAAUCAUCGAAUCUUUGAACGCACAUUGCGCCCCUUGGUAUUCCGGGGGGCAUGCCUGUUCGAGCGUCAUUAUGACCAAUCCCGCAAAGGGGUCUUGGGGUCCGCGGUUCGCUGCGGCCCUUAAAAUCAGUGGCGGCGCCGCCGGUGCUCUCAGCGUAGUAAUACUCCUCGCUCGGGAGCCACGUAGAUGCUCGCCAGCAAACCUCAAUCUUCACAGGUUGACCUCGGAUCAGGUAGGGAUACCCGCUGAACUUAA
rnacentral:rRNA from 1 species